AUUUCGUUUGAUUUGCUUUGUCCUCGUGCUCUGCACAUGAUGGUAACUUGAAUUUUGCCUGGACAAGUGCCUUUCUCACUUGAGGACCCGGAUUAUGAGGGCCUUGAGCUAGAUAUGAUGAUGCAAGAAGCAUGAAAGUCAUCGGAGAGGCUUGUAGCAUUUGAAGGAAUAAUGACCGGAAGAAGGUUCUGUCAUAUAUGCCCUACCGAAGGUCAGAAUUGUGGGUUUGUUCAGUGGGUUGAUGAGCAGUGGCCCCCAACAAUGGAGAAUGCAUUGCUGAAGCUUUGGUCAAUGGUUGAAGAGAGCAAGUCUGCUAGGGUGAAUGAUAAUCUUGAAAGUGCUUUAACUAUUCACCAUAUGACAGAAGAAAAGAACAAGCUGGAUGCAAACUAUGACAAGUUAGUGAAAGAUGUGCAUCAACUUAUGGAUAUGCAGGAGGAUAGGGUUGUGGAUUUUAGUUAUCUGCAGUCCAACAUCACAUAUCAGCACCAAUGCAGAGUUGAAUUGGUGGCUGGUAUGAAGGCAGAAAUGGCAAAGAAAGAUGCAGUUACAGAGAAACUUCAAUAG
rnacentral:rRNA from 1 species